CACGCGCGUGCGGUGGUUUCCUCCGAGAGACAGGAGGAGAGAGAAAAAGAGCCUCGUCCCCAACAAGCUCCACUUAUUUACCAAGCCGAAUCUAAUUAAGAAAAGUCGGCCCACAAAGUUCCCCGGUAAACCCUCAUCCCCACCACUACCGGUUCCUUCUUCGUUCUUUUACUCUCUAUAUUUAUUUCCUCUCUCCUCACUCUCCGCGGGAUCUCCAGAUCUUCGUAUUUCUUCCUUCCUCGGAAGAGAUCGAUCCCUUCGCGUGGUAGGAGGGGGACAAUCCCAUGGCGGGCCGUUACGAUAGCAACCCUUUCGACGAGGAGGAGGUCAAUCCCUUCGCGGACCCAGCAGUUCGUGGUAAAGCAGCUGGACAAUCAAAUUAUGGUGGAGGUCCAUUCUACACAACACACCCAGGAAGUGUUCCUCCGGCUUCAAAUUCCAGGCUCUCACCACUUCCUCCAGAACCUGCUGAUUUCUACAGUGAUCGCAGUGCAACAGUUGACAUUCCUCUUGAUACAUCAACAAAGGAUCUAAAGAAAAAGGAAAAGGAACUUCAAGCCAAGGAGGCCGAGUUAAAUAAGAGAGAAAAGGAACUAAAACGGCGGGAAGAGGCUGCAGCGCGGGCUGGCAUUGUUAUCGAGGAGAAAAACUGGCCACCUUUCUUUCCCAUUAUUCAUCAUGAUAUUGCAAAUGAGAUACCCAUCCACCUGCAGAGACUGCAGUAUUUUGCAUUUGCAUCAUUGUUAGGAUUGACUAUCUGCCUUUUUUGGAAUAUUAUAGCAGUUACAACAGCUUGGAUUAAGGGGCAAGGUGUAAAGAUCUGGUUGCUUGCCAUCAUCUACUUUAUCUCUGGUGUCCCAGGAGCAUAUGUUUUAUGGUAUCGGCCCCUUUAUCGUGCCAUGAGGACUGAUAGUGCUUUGAGGUUUGGAUGGUUUUUCCUGUUUUACCUGCUGUGGCUCCUCCAAUUAUAUUCAAGGGGAAAUCUUUGACAGGUAUUUUACCUGCAGUAGAUCUUAUCAGCGGACAUGCCUUGGUUGGGAUCUUCUACUUUAUUGGAUUCGGGUUGUUCUGUGUCGAAUCGCUGCUCAGCAUUUGGGUCAUUCAGCAAGUAUACAUGUACUUCCGAGGGAGUGGAAAAGCAGCAGAGAUGAAGCAUGAGGCAGCGCGUGGUGCCAUGAGGGCAGCAAUAUGAUGCACAUACUUCACAUCCUAGGUUCCAAGGGUACUCUUAAAGUGGAAGAUCGGUUAUACCAUCAAACAGGCAGAUAGCAAACCCAUCCGUAUGUUGGUUGCUUGAUUUCUUCUCAGCCAUUUAUAUAUUUUGAGAAUUUUAUUGGUUGCCUGACCCCAAUAUGAACUAGAAUGUACUUGUUGUAUUUUUCAUAUUUUACCGGGGAGAGUGUACAGCUUCUUUGAAGCAUUACUUCCUGCUUGUGUUUUACCUAGCUCUUUGUUUGUGCAGUUGUGCUAGAGAAAACAGCGUUUAGUGGUUACAGUUUAUAAUACAGUAUUGAAUCCCUCAUUCAUACUAUAUAGAUUUUGCUGAUAAUUUGUCUUCAA